GGAUAACUACGGAUUCAUUUUGAGUGCUAGUCAAGAUCAACCUUGGAAGAUACUGUUGUUGUGCUAGCUUUCUUUAUUUACUAUGUAAGACCUCGCCACUGUAAAUUUGUCCUAUCAAUAGAUGUAGAUAUGUUUUGUCCAUCACAUCUCAGGAAUAAUAGUAUUGUAAAUUCUUGGGGUGAGACAAUUAUGGUAUCAGAGCAAUAGGUUUAAGAUCCUUAGGAAAUUUAAAAAGAAUGUACUUAAAAAUCACAUUUAUUGUGUGUACAGACCGGGAUAAAGUCAGGAUCCAGAAUAGCUGAAGCCAAUAUGGAAGGAAUUCACAAAGCCUUGGAAAAUAUGGUUGCUCUAAUGCAACAUCAGAUGGAAAACAACAAUCCACCCAGGCAGUCAGUUACAGGAAAUGGUGGGAGCAAUAUCGAACAAUUUAAAAAAUUAAGCCCACCUUCU
rnacentral:lncRNA from 1 species